rnacentral:rRNA from 1 species
AUGGGCAGUUCACUGGACACCUUGAUGAAUCAUACGAAUGAACAAGCAAAAGCUUCAGGUCAACACUCAUUUUAUUCAUUUAAUCAGAGGACUAUAGUUCAACUCAUGCUCUUCACGUAUGAGAAAUAUGGGCUAACAUAUUCACCAUUUCAACUGUGGGUUAACUGCAAUUUAGAACUGUACUGGUUUAAAUAUCCCCAUUGCAAUGUGCCAAGAUGGGUCAUGCAAAAUGCCACUGAUGGAUACCAAGAUAACAUAUAUUCAGAAUGUAUCACACAGUACAGAAAGACAAGUUUGCUGUCAUAA